rnacentral:rRNA from 1 species
UACGUAGGCAGCAAGCGUUGUUCGGAAUUACUGGGCGUAAAGGGCGUGCAGGCGGUUUGUUAAGUGCAGGGUGAAAGCUCCCGGCUCAACUGGGAGAGGUCCUUGCAUACUGGCGAACUCGAGGGAGGCAGAGGAAAGUGGAAUUCCCGGUGUAGUGGUGAUAUGCGUAGAUAUCGGGAGGAACACCUGUGGCGAAGGCGGCUUUCUGGGCCUUACCUGACGCUGAGACGCGAAAGCGUGGGGAGCGAACCGG